rnacentral:other from 1 species
AGCGGACUACAAUCAAUUUCGUUUAAAAGAGUUGGCAAUAUUUAUGUCCAGAGUUGCGAAUAUUACGUCAUGUAUGUUCGGUCCUGUUAAGUCAUAAGUAAUACCGAGUUUUUUUAGCACUAUAACGUAGAUGAUUUACAUCUUCGUAUAAAUUAACUUAACCUACAGGAUAAACAGACAUGUCUGACGUAGUAACUGGUACAGUAAAAUUUUUCAACGAAACUAAAGGUUUCGGUUUCAUCACUCAGGAUCAAGGUCCUGAUGUUUUUGUUCAUUUUUCUGCAAUCAACACUUCUGGUUUCAAAACUUUGGCUGAAGGCCAAAAAGUUGAAUUCCAAGUAGCUCAAGGCAAAAAAGGCCCUGAAGCUCAAAACGUUACUCCUUUAUAAGGUAACGUUGCUGAGGAUACUCUCAGUAGUGCGAAUGCUAAAAAGCGACUUUUAAAGUCGCUUUUUUUG